GGCGCAGUGAAAGCGCGGGGCGCAGCACCCGGCUCCGCGCCUUGUGUGGGCCGACGAGAUAAGGGAUGAUGGCCGUCGCACGCUCCGCAACGGGGCGGCCGGCAUGCCAGCAAUCACGGGGCGCCUCGUUCUCUGCCGCAGGCGCACCCGGAGCGCACACGUUGGGACCCGAAAGAUGGUGAACUAUGCCCGGCCAGGACGAAGUCAGGGGAAAUCCUGAUGGAGGUCCGCAACGAUUCUGACGUGCAAAUCGAUCGCCAGAGCUGGGUUUAGGGGCGAAAGACUAAUCGAACCAUCUAGUAGCUGGUUCCCUCCGAAGUUUCCAUAAGGAUAGCUGGCGCAGGGUUUAAGGGAGAGUCUCAUCCAAUAAAGCGAAUGAUUAGAGGACUUAGGGCCGAAAAGACCUCAACCUAUUUUCAAACUUUAAAUAGGUGAGAUCUCUCGCUUGCCUGAGCGAAGCCGCGAGAACCUGGAUGACGGUGGCAAGUGGUCCAAUUUUGGUAAGCAGAACUGGCGCUAUGGGAUGGACCAAACGCCAGGAUAAGGCCCCUAAACCGGAGCUCAUGAGA
rnacentral:rRNA from 1 species